AUAUAUAUGCUAUUCGUACCGAAGAAAGUAACUGGGAAUUAUCCCUUAAUUUGUUACCGAGGAAUGAAAUUACAUAGAUAGGCUAUUAUUUAAAUAAUAGUAUUUAGUGUAUUUUUAAUUAACCUCGGAAAUAAUAUUUUCGAGGUUUUAUUUUGAUCUU
rfam:Spiroplasma culicicola AES-1, complete genome.